AUUGAACGCUGGCGGCAGGCUUAACACAUGCAAGUCGAACGAGUGGCGGACGGGUGAGUAAUGCUUUGGAAUCUAGCUUAUGGAGGGGGAUAACUCCGGGAAACUGUAGCUAAUACCGCGUACCAUCGGCUGAUCCCAGGUGGGAUUAGGUAGUUGGUGAGGUAAAGGCUCACCAAGCCGACGAUCUCUAGCUGGUCUGAGAGGAUUACCAGCCACACGGGGACUGAUACACGGCCCAGACUCCUACGGGAGGCAGCAGUGGGGAAUAUUGCGCAAUGGGGGCAACCUGACGCAGCCAUGCCGCGUGAAUGAAGAAGGCCUUCGGGUUGUAAAGUUCUUUCGGUAGCGAGGCGUUAACUACAGAAGAAGCACCGGCUAACUCCGUGCCAGCCGCCGCGGUAAUUC
rnacentral:rRNA from 1 species